AUGUACCCACGUACACUCCGGUUCCUCCGCGCCGUCCGCACCCACCUGACGUCUGCUCGCUACGUUUUGUUAGCC
rnacentral:sRNA from 1 species